GCAGGGCACACCAUGCAUCGCCGACGUCCAGAAGGGAUUCACGAUUUUGUUGGAGGGAGUUCGAAUGAUACAUCGGUGAGAAAGUUAAAAAAAAAAGAUAUGAAUAAGGGUCUCACAUGAGUUCCGCAAAGCACGCAUUUCCAUAGCAUAGAUGACUCUAAAUUAAGUUCAAAGAAGAAAGUCCAAAGCUAUAAGAAGAUCAAUUCGAAAAACAAAGGGAAAGGUGAUACCCCUCCAUAGCGAAGCACACCUCUUAAGCGAAAUCAAAGGUGAUACCC
rnacentral:lncRNA from 1 species